UCGUAGAGGUGCAUUUUUCAAGAGUACAUAUGUCAAUAUCAUAAGGGAUACAUGCGGCAUAUGGAAAGGGGAACGUGCCGAAGAAAAAGAUUGCCUUAUCUCUCUUUUUCUGGUUGUGCGGUUAAGAGCCGUAUAACUGUCAUUGGAAAAUUCCAAUGGAGCGCUACA
rnacentral:ncRNA from 1 species